GCAGGCUUGGCCAAAUGGUUACGCUGUCCGCUUUGUAAGCGGAUGUCAUGAGUUCGAUUCCCAUCUGUU
rnacentral:tRNA from 1 species